rfam:Schistosoma mansoni, Puerto Rico, WGS project CABG01000000 data, contig: 0049
AUUCGAGUUGUCGAGUCCCAAAUAGGACGAAACGCGCGUCCUGGAU